AUUGAACGCUGGCGGCAUGCUUUACACAUGCAAGUCGAACGGAAGCGCGGGCUUCGGCCUUGCGUCGAGUGGCGAACGGGUGAGUAAUGCAUAGGAAUCUGCCCGGUAGUGGGGGAUAGCCCCUCGAAACGCGGAUUAAUACCGCAUACGUCCUGAGGGUGAAAGCGGGGGAUCGACAGACCUCGCGCUAUUGGAGGGGCCUAUGUCGGAUUAGCUAGUUGGUGGGGUAAAGGCUUACCAAGGCGACGAUCCGUAGCUGGUCUGAGAGGAUGAUCAGCCACACUGGAACUGAGACACGGCCCAGACUCCUACGGGAGGCAGCAGUGGGGAAUUUUGGACAAUGGGGGAAAGCCUGAUCCAGCCAUGCCGCGUGCGGGAAGAAGGUCUUCGGGUUGUAAAGCACUUUUGUUUGGGAAGAAAUCCUGUGGGUUAAUACCCCGGGGGGAUGACGGUACCGGAAGAAUAAGCACCGGCUAACUACGUG
rnacentral:rRNA from 1 species